rnacentral:rRNA from 1 species
GAUGAACGCUAGCGACAGGCUUAACACAUGCAAGUCGAGGGGCAGCAUAAAAGUAGCAAUACUUUGGUGGCGACCGGCGCACGGGUGAGUAACGCGUAUGCAACCUACCUAUCAGAGGGGAAUAACCCGGCGAAAGUCGGACUAAUACCGCAUAAAACAGGGGCACCGCAUGGUGAUAUUUGUUAAAGAGAUUCGCUGAUAGAUGGGCAUGCGUUCCAUUAGGUAGUUGGUGAGGUAACGGCUCACCAAGUCGACGAUGGGUAGGGGAACUGAGAGGUUGGUCCCCCACACUGGUACUGAGACACGGACCAGACUCCUACGGGAGGCAGCAGUGAGGAAUAUUGGUCAAUGGGCGAGAGCCUGAACCAGCCAAGUCGCGUGAAGGAAGAAGGAUCUAUGGUUCGUAAACUUCUUUUGCAGGGGAAUAAAGUGCAGGACGUGUCCUGUUUUGUAUGUACCCUGAGAAUAAGGAUCGGCUAACUCCGUGCCAGCCGCCGCCGUAA